UACAGAGGGUGCAAACGUUGCUCGGAAUUAUUGGGCGUAAAGCGCACGUAGGCGGCCAUGUAAGUCAGGAGUGAAAGCCCUCGGCUUAACCGGGGAAGUGCUUUUGAAACUGCAUGGCUUGAAUACUGAAGAGGGUCGCGGAAUUCCCGGUGUAGAGGUGAAAUUCGUAGAUAUCGGGAGGAACACCAGUGGCGAAGGCGGCGACCUGGGCAGAUAUUGACGCUGAGGUGCGAAAGCGUGGGGAGCAAACAGG
rnacentral:rRNA from 1 species